rnacentral:lncRNA from 1 species
UUAAUUUAAUACUAAAAAAUUUUAUUAAAAAGAGUUUUAAAUAAUCCAAACAUAACCUGUAAACCUAAGUUAUUCUUAUCCUUGCCCUAAACACAUUUUCUUUCAACGCCGCCCACUUCUCAUCUUCUCCCUCAACUUCUCCUUACUCGAGUUGCGGUUGUACCAGCACGGAAAUACAGCCUAGCAACACCUAACAAGUCGUUUCUCCCUCCGCAACGACAGCCAUACCAACACCCAACGGCAUUUCUCUCUCCGCGCGUUGUUUCUCCCAUCACUCGUUGUUAAUGCGAUCCUUACUCAGGCAUUUUGUCCAUAAGCCCACUGCACUUGUCCUCGGUGCUACUUCUCGUCUUGCUGCUCACCUUCCUUGCUGCUAGUCCUUGUCAUCAGUCACGCCGCUGGUCCUCGUCCUCAGCCACGUUGCUACUCUUUGUGAUGCUUCCCUCUAGCCGCCCGGUGAGGUAUUGAAUUAAUGCCUUCAACUGCAGAUCUGUGUAUUAUACAGUGUUAGUUAGAAUACUAUAAGAAAUUUGAAAUAACAAUGUACUAUGAUUUAAAACAAUUUAUUUUGAAGAUUGAUUUAUGAGAUUUGUGUGUUCAUAUUUCUCAUAUUGAUUUGUAUUUCUGGAAAUUUGGAAUGUGUUCGUUAAAUUCUAAGAUUUAUGGAAUUUAUUUAUUAAAAUUAGAUUUCUGAGAUUUGUGCGUUUCAUGUUUGUGGUGGAAGGCAUUUGACUUGUGUGGGUACCGAUUCGGGUAUUUAACCGGAAAAGUUAUUUUAAUUAAUUAACAUUUCACCGCAAUUAUUUAAAUUUAAUCUGGUUCGUUUGGAUUUGGGUAAUCCGUUUUGCAAUGAAAAUGGGUAAUGGAAUUUAAUUUCUAAAAGGGUUUGAGCCGGAUUCAAAUAUUAUAAAUAUAAAUGGAUUUGGAUUUGAAUACACCCUACCUAAACCUACAUAUAAUCAUCUUUUCUAAUGAUAUUUUAAUUUUGGUAAAUAAAAAAAAAAACUUCUUUUUCAAGUUAUUUUAAAGGAAACAAAAUUAAAAUAAAAUAAUUGCAGGUAUCUAGUUAGAGAAGGGAAAAAAAAAGUAAUUUAUUUUUGGAAAAAAUUUAUGUGCAAAUUCAAUGUAUAAAUAUAGGUAAUUCAUUUAAUUUUUAUAUGGAUUGACUCGUAUAUUUAUAUUUUGAUUUUGUAAAUUACCCAAUAUUUAUAUGCAUUCUGGUAAUUUAUGCUGACCGUUUUAACUUGCAACUCAAAAGACAAUGUUAGUGGAGUGCAAGUCUUGGACUCUAAUUCUGUAUUGAUAAGGAAUUUUCUUUAUCAAGAACAGUAAGAUGUUUAUUCAUGAUAACAAAUACUGAACACCUAAUUCCAUAAAUGCGAGUACACCCAUAUCAAUUACAAAUGUGUAGGCGGUAUCAAAUUCAACUAUCUAUACAUGAGAUAACCGUCUCAUUUCAGAUCAAGGGAUUUCAAGAGGUUUCUGCAGCGCUAGGAAGGUAGAAAUUUCAUGCAGAUUGGUGGGUUUAUUUUGGCCAGAGCAAGCACAGCAGCAGGAAGA